UGUGGGCCCGAGGGUGCACAGAUACCUGUCAGUCGACAGGCAUUUAGUAUACUUUUGGAGGUAAACAAAUAAGGGCAAACAAAUAAGGGCCCCGCUGAGGCGAAAAGGAAAACGUCUUACAGCCAGUGUCUUAAAUUCCCAACAACGGAAUGUGUCUGUGAGACACGUGUACUUAAAACAGCCCCGCCAG
rnacentral:lncRNA from 1 species